UAAGAAUUUAAAAGUCGAACAGACUUAUUACUAAGAGCUCUACCCCUUAUAAUUUUCUUAAUUCAACAUCGAGGUCGCAAAAUAUAAUAUAGAUAUGAACUCCCCAUUAAAAUUACGCUGUUAUCCCUAAGGUAACUUAAUCUUAUUAUCCUAGACAUAAAAUCAUUAGGGAUCUAAAGUUACACAAAUUAAUGAAUUUUUAAACUAAAGUUAAAUUAUUUAAUUGCCACCCCAGCAAAAUAUAAGUAAAUAUUAUUAAAUAUAAAAUUUAAAAUUUAAUAAAAUAAGCUUAUAUAAAGUUCUAUAGGGUCUUAUCGUCCCAAUAAUCCAUUAAAGCAUUUUAACUUUAAAUUCAAAUUAUAAUACUUAAAAAAAAUAAAAUAUAUUUCUCAUACAUCCAUUCAUACAAGCUUUCAAUUAAAAAACUAUUUACUAUGCUACCUUUGCACAGUCAAAAUACUGCAGCCAUUUAGGAACUUUUCCCAUAGGGCAGAAGAUACUUUUUAUAAAAACA
rnacentral:rRNA from 1 species